GUAGGGAAUCUUCGGCAAUGGACGAAAGUCUGACCGAGCAACGCCGCGUGAGUGAAGAAGGUUUUCGGAUCGUAAAACUCUGUUGGUAGAGAAGAACGUUGGUGAGAGUGGAAAGCUCAUCAAGUGACGGUAACUACCCAGAAAGGGACGGCUAACUACGUGCCAGCAGCCGCGGUAAUACGUAUGUCCCGAGCGUUAUCCGGAUUUAUUGGGCGUAAAGCGAGCGCAGACGGUUGAUUAAGUCUGGUGUAAAAGGCAGUGGCUCAACCAUUGUGUGCAUUGGAAACUGGGAGACUUGAGUGCAGGAGAGGAGAGUGGAAUUCCAUGUGUAGCGGUGAAACGCGUAGAUAUAUGGAGGAACACCGGUGGCGAAAGCGGCUCUCUGGCCUGUAACUGACACUGAGGCUCGAAAGCGUGGGGAGCAAACAGGAUUAGAAACCCUUGUAGUCC
rnacentral:rRNA from 1 species